UCCGGUUUGUCACCGGCAGUCUCCCUAGAGUUCCCAUCCGAAAUGCUGGCAACUAGGGACAAGGGUUGCGCUCGUUGCGGGACUUAACCCAACAUCUCACGACACGAGCUGACGACAGCCAUGCAGCACCUGUGUUCGAGUUCCCGAAGGCACCAAUCCAUCUCUGGAAAGUUCUCGACAUGUCAAGGGGUGGUAAGGUGGGGAUGACGUUUACCGACAGCU
rnacentral:misc_RNA from 1 species